CCUACGGGGUGCAGCAGUGGGGAAUCUUGGGCAAUGGGGGAAACCCUGACCCAGCGACGCCGCGUGGAGGAUGACGGCCUUCGGGUUGUAAACUCCUGUCAGGUGGGAAGAAAAGCUUGUCGGCUAAUACCCGGCAGGAAUUGACGGUACCACCAAAGGAAGCCCCGGCUAACUCCGUGCCAGCAGCCGCGGUAAUACGGAGGGGGCAAGCGUUAUUCGGAUUUACUGGGCGUAAAGCGCACGUAGGUGGCAUGGUAAGUCACAGGUGAAAGCCCUCGGCUCAACCGAGGAACUGCCUGUGAAACUGCCUUGCUUGAGUCCGGGAGGGGGGAGCGGAAUUCCCAGUGUAGCGGUGAAGUGCGUAGAUAUUGGGAAGAACACCGGUGGCGAAGGCGGCUCCCUGGACCGGUACUGACACUGAGGUGCGAAAGCGUGGGUAGCAAACAGGAUUAGAUACCCUAGUAGUCC
rnacentral:rRNA from 1 species